rnacentral:rRNA from 1 species
GUUGACCUCGGAUCAGGUAGGGAUACCCGCUGAACUUAAGCAUAUCAAUAAGCGGAGGAAAAGAAACCAACAGGGAUUGCUCUAGUAACGGCGAGUGAAGCAGCAAUAGCUCAAAUUUGAAAUCUGGCGUCUUCGACGUCCGAGUUGUAAUUUGUAGAGGAUGCUUCUGAGUGGCCACCGACCUAAGUUCCUUGGAACAGGACGUCAUAGAGGGUGAGAAUCCCGUAUGCGGUCGGA